UUAUUCGGAAUCACUGGGCUUAAAGGGCGCGUAGGCGGGCCGAUAAGCCAGGGGUGAAAUCCUCCAGCCCAACUGGAGAAGCGCCUUUGGAACUGGCGGCCUCGAGGGGUGCAGGGGCAUGCGGAACUCAGGGUGGAGCGGUGAAAUGCGUAGAUAUCCUGAGGAACACCGGUGGCGAAAGCGGCGUGCUGGACACCUUCUGACGCUGAGGCGCGAAAGCCAGGGGAGCGAACGGG
rnacentral:rRNA from 1 species